AGAUUGAACGCUGGCGGCAGGCCUAACACGUGCAAGUCGAGCGGUAGAGAGGUGCUUGCACCUCUUGAGAGCGGCGGACGGGUGAGUAAUGCCUAGGAAUCUGCCUAGUGGUGGGGGAUAACGUUCGGAAACGGACGCUAAUACCGCAUACGUCCUACGGGAGAAAGCGGGGGACCUUCGGGCCUCGCGCCAUUAGAUGAGCCUAGGUCGGAUUAGCUUAGUUGGUGAGGUAAUGGCUCACCAAGGCGACGAUCCGUAACUGGUCUGAGAGGAUGAUCAGUCACACUGGAACUGAGACACGGUCCAGACUCCUACGGGAGGCAGCAGUGGGAAUA
rnacentral:rRNA from 1 species